UACGUAGGGCGCAAGCGUUAUCCGGAAUUAUUGGGCGUAAAGAGCUCGUAGGCGGUUUGUCGCGUCUGCCGUGAAAGUCCGGGGCUCAACUCCGGAUCUGCGGUGGGUACGGGCAGACUAGAGUGAUGUAGGGGAGACUGGAAUUCCUGGUGUAGCGGUGAAAUGCGCAGAUAUCAGGAGGAACACCGAUGGCGAAGGCGGUGAUCUGGGCCGACACUGACGCUGUAGAGCGAAAGCGUGGGGAGCGAACAGG
rnacentral:rRNA from 1 species